rnacentral:rRNA from 1 species
AUUGAACGCUGGCGGCAGGCCUAACACAUGCAAGUCGAACGAGUGGCGGACGGGUGAGUAAUGUCUGGGAAACUGCCUGCUGGAGGGGGAUAACUACUGGAAACGGUAGCUAAUACCGCAUACCAUCAGAUGUGCCCAGAUGGGUUUAGCUUGUGGGUGGGGUAACGGCUCACCAAGGCGACGAUCCCUAGCUGGUCUGAGAGGAUGACGGGCAACACGGGAACGGAGACACGGUCCAGAAUCCUACGGGAGGCGACAGUGGGGAAUAUUGGACAAUGGGCGCAAGCCUGAUACAGCCAGGCCGCGUGGAUGAAGAGGGCCUUCGGGUUGUAAAGUACUUUCAGCGGGGAGGCGUUACCCGCAGAAGAAGCACCGGCUAACUCCGUGCCAGCAGCCGCGGUAAUAC